UUUAGACUUCGAUAAAAUUAU
rnacentral:piRNA from 1 species